rnacentral:lncRNA from 1 species
CAGGCCAUGGCGGCGGUUGGGCCGUCGGGUGCACGGAUUGUGGCGGGGCUGUGGAGCACGCGGGCCACGGGCGCAAGGCUGUGGGGCGUGCAGGCCGCGGGCGCACUGGACGAGGGCGCGCAUGUGCACGGGCACUUGGCCGGACGCAGGCGCCAGCAGUGGGUUGCGUGGAUGCGCGCAUCGCUGGGCGUGCAGCGAAGACGCACAGCGGAC